rnacentral:lncRNA from 1 species
GAGGACAGGUCGAGGACAAGCCUGACAUUCCAUCGAGACCCGUAGGAACUGGCCAAAGCCCAGCACCCAAGAGGAAACAUGGCUGGAAGAAGAGAUUGAUUUCAGGAACUGAAUUUCAACUACAGUGUUAUUGGAAAGGAGGCCUAAUCCAGACCCCAAGAGAGAGUUCUUGGAUCUCAUGCAAGAAAGAAUUCACGCAUACCUGUGAGGACAUCUGUAAAGGCGAAGAUCAAACUGAUGAAGAAACUGUCAAGAAAUGCUGUUGAAUCUCAGGUACUAUCGUUGGCCCAUUUUAACAAUUUUAAGGAAUCAGGUUUUGAAAUUUGGUCCACAAAGAAUUAUGUAUUUACUCAUACAUUUUACCCGCAAAUAGUAUAUGUUACCUCCAAAGGAGCAAUGCUGGUUGAAUUAUUUAUAAAAUGAUAAGCUUCUCAAGGAAGCUAUUAAGAGAGAGAAACCAGGGCCUUUUUCCUACACAGUGAUGGUUAAUAAAUCAAAAUAGACACUUUGUUAAUAUGGCUAAAUAUAAUAACAAUACUGACAACUAUAAAAGUCAAAUUAUUACAGAAAACAAAACUAAGUAUCAUAUAAUGCCUUUCUUAUUGAUCUGAGCAGUUCCAGUCAACCCUUACUAAAACUAUUUUUAUUAGAAGAUUUAAGGGUUAUGCUUUUAUUGUUUUCAACUCAUCUUGAAUCUUUCAAGCUGGAGAUUAACUCCCUAGGGACUACUUCUGACUGUGACGCUUUCAGGACAACAUAGUUCAGCCACCUAGAGAUUAUCGACAUGUCGCAAAUAAGAUUCUUUUCUAGGGCUGCUUUCUGGAAAUGAAAGCAGUCUGUAGUGGGCUCUUCCAUCCCCAGUCAGGUGAAUAAGCUCAAAGGAUAUGUGUA